rnacentral:rRNA from 1 species
UGCCAGACUCCUACGGGAGGCAGCAGUGGGGGAUAUUGCACAAUGGGGGAAACCCUGAUGCAGCGACGCCGCGUGAGUGAAGAAGUAAUUCGUUACGUAAAGCUCUAUCAGCAGGGAAGAAAAUGACGGUACCUGACUAAGAAGCCCCGGCUAACUACGUGCCAGCAGCCGCGGUAAUACGUAGGGGGCAAACGUUAUCCGGAUUUACUGGGUGUAAAGGGAGCGUAGACGGUCCUGCAAGCCAGAUGUGAAAGCCCGGGGCUCAACCCCGGGACUGCAUUUGGGACUGUAAGGCUAGAGUGUCGGAGAGGCAGGCGGAAUUCCUAGUGUAGCGGUGAAAUGCGUAGAUAUUAGGAGGAACACCAGUGGCGAAGGCGGCCUGCUGGACGAUGACUGACGUUGAGGCUCGAAAGCGUGGGGAGCAAACAGGAUUAGAUACCCUAGUA